UGGGGAAUAUUGGACAAUGGGCGCAAGCCUGAUCCAGCCAUGCCGCGUGAGUGAUGAAGGCCCUAGGGUUGUAAAGCUCUUUCACCGGUGAAGAUAAUGACGGUAACCGGAGAAGAAGCCCCGGCUAACUUCGUGCCAGCAGCCGCGGUAAUACGAAGGGGGCUAGCGUUGUUCGGAUUUACUGGGCGUAAAGCGCACGUAGGCGGACUUUUAAGUCAGGGGUGAAAUCCCGGGGCUCAACCCCGGAACUGCCUUUGAUACUGGAAGUCUUGAGUAUGGUAGAGGUGAGUGGAAUUCCGAGUGUAUAGGUGAAAUUCGUAGAUAUUCGGAGGAACACCAGUGGCGAAGGCGACUCACUGGACCAUUACUGACGCUGAGGUGCGCAAGCGUGGGGAGCAAACAGG
rnacentral:rRNA from 1 species